AUGGUGAGAGAUUACUGCUCAGCGAUUCUUGCCUUUCUAAACCUUUUGUGCACUUCUGGAGUGCUGGAAACGCCUUUUCAGGCUUUCUGAGUGUAUAGAACGACGAUUUCAUGAUUGUGUAGGUUUCUUCAGCCAAGUUAACGAUUUAGGUCUCUAUCUCAUAAAAUGUGAUUUUAUUUGAGUUCUAUGACAUAUCAAGUGUGUUUCAUGUCAGAAAUGUCUAUUAAUAAUCAUUGUAAUGUUUUCACAUAAAGAGAACACUUCAUAGCAUUUCUAGCUAUUUGAAAGCGUUUAGGCGCUUCUGGUGUGCUGUAAGUGCGUUUUCAGUGUUUCUGAGCGUAUAGAACAGUUUACUCAUUGCACAGGUUUCUUAAACCAAGUUAAAGAUUUAGGUCACUAGGUCACAAAAUAUGUUUUUAAUACAGUUAUAUGACAUCAAGUGUGUUUUAUGUCAGAAAUGUCUGUUUAAAAGCAUCUUAAUAUUUUCACCUUAAGAGAACACUGCAUAGCGUUUCUAUCCUUUCUAAAGCCUUUGGGCACUUCUGGAGUGCUGGAAACGCCUUUUCAGGCUUUCUGAGUGUAUACAACGACAGUUUCAUUAUUGGACAGGUUUCUUCACAAAACUUAAAGACUUAGUUCUCUAUGCAGUGUUGUCACCUUACGAAGAAACUGCAUAGCGUUUCUAGCCUUUGUAAAGCGUUUGGGUGCUUUUGAAGUGGUGGAAAUGCCAUUUCAGGCUUUCUAAAGCAUAUAGAACGAGGGUUUCAUUGUUGGAUAGGUUUCAUCAAAAAAGUUAAGGACUUAGUUCAAUAUUUUCAUUAAAUGUGAUUUUAAUCCAGUUAUAUGACUUAUCAAGGGUGUUUCAUAUCAGAAAUGUUUGUUUAUAAUCAUCUUAAUAUUUUCAUGGUAAGAGAUUACUGCUCAGCGAUUCGAGUGUUUCUAAAGCGUUUGUGUGCUUCUGGAGUGCUGGAAACAUCUUUUCAGGCUUUCUGAGCAUACAGAACGACGAUUUCAAGAUUGUGCAGGUUUCUUCAGCCAAGUUAACGAUUUAAGUCUCUAUCUCAUAAAAUGUGAUUUUAUUUUAGUUCUAUGACAUAUCAAGUGUGUUUUAUGUCAGAAAUGUCUAUUUAUAAUCAUCGUAAUGUUUUCACAUAAAGAGAACACUUCAUAGUGUUUCUAGCCAUUCAAAAGCAUUUAGGCGCUUCCUGGCAUGCUGUAAGCGCCUUUUUAGUGUUUUUGAGCGUACAGAAUGACGAUUUCAUGAUUGUGCAAGUUUCUUCAGCCAAGUUAACGAUUUAAGUGUUUAUCUCAUGAAAUGUGAUUUUAUUUGAGUUCUAUGACAUAUCAAGUGCAUUUUAUGUCAGAAAUGUCUAUAUGUCAUCAUAAUGUUUUCACAUAAAGAGAACACUUCAUACACUGUAAAAAAUAUUUGUCCUGUGUAUUUAAAAAUAAACAUAGGCACAACAUGAAAUAUAAAAAUAGUUACCCCAAAAACAAAAAAUAGGUUGUACCAUCAUCUGCAGCAUUUUUACCAUGCGACAUAGAAUUUUAUAUUCAGUGAAUGAACAUUUCUGUUUUCAGUCAACGCGUUAAGUCCAAAGAAAAAAACUCUGUUGGGUGAGCGACAGUGAAACUACUGCGCAUGCGCACAAGAGGGACGUAUUUCUGGCGCUUUCUAGACCAAAAUGAAGACGAAGACCCAGUAUUUUACAACCAGCCCAGAAGACUCCAAAGUACCUUGAGAGACGUUCAUGUCGAAAUCCAAUGCAGUGGCGUUACUGUAAAUUCGCUGCAGAGCAAGACAUCCUGUUCAAGCACUACAGACUUCAUCAUUGGCAGACAGGGCAAAGAAACAGACAUUUGUUUAUGUCCCUGUUCUCAAGACAUUGAAGAAUCUUUUGAGUAAGCCUGAAGUACUCGAGAAGACGUUUCCAAUCCAAGAGAGCACCCAAGGUCUUUACACAUCAUGUUUUGAUGACCACAAACUUGACGGCACAUAGAAGAUAUACUGUCCUCUGGGGUUUUCCACUGUACAUGAGGGAGAGGCCUUCCAUUUCAAAGACCUUACUUGAUGCUGAAGCAUUGGAGGACCACACAAAGAACAUGAAAAUGGGAAUUCUUGAAGUGGUGAAGGAGAGUGCUGAUCCAUCGCGAUCACUGACCAGUGUGGUCAAUGUUGCAGUUGUGCUUGAAGAGGAGGUAGUAAUGGAUAACUAUGGCCUGACUACACUAAUGCCUUCAUUCUGCUCUUUGGACUUCUGUAUGCACUAAACAUAGAAUAUCCAAAAGACUUAAAAUACACAUUUGAAGUGGUCCAAAAAGUGUUCCUUCAUCUUGGAAACGAGUGCACAGCCAGAGUGCAGUCUCUAAAGAACAAGUUAGUGCACAUGUAAUCACUACACGCAUAAGCGUUAUUUUUUUUAUUUUUAAAUUUUUUUUGUGACUUACAACACACAAUGCGGUGCUUUUAUUUUAUGUUGUCCAUGUUCACCUCUGCUUGGAGCAGUUUGCUACUCAUUUAAGAGUACCCAUCUAAAAUGGCUGAGAUGACUUGGUUUGAUUCGGUUUUGUUCCACUUUUAAAAAAAAAAGACUGUUUUAGUUCUUGUCUUUGUCGUAAAUGCUGCAGUUUUUUUUAAAACAGCAUUGUCGUUGUUUCCUUCUUUGCUAGCUUCAAUGUUAAAUAUUCAUUCCACUUUUAGAAAAUCACACACACUUUAUGUUCAGUUUUUCUGUUAGCGUAACCUUCUAAAACUUUUGUUCUCUAAAGUACAAGGUAUUGUACUAAUUUCUGCAUGAAUGUCACAGAUGUUUGACUGCUGUUCUGGCACUAGUGGCAACAUUUGUCACAAAUGUGUGUAUUUAAAGUAAGAGUUUGUUUUAUUACUACUUAUUUUUGUAAAGUUUUGCUACCUAUACCACUGAAAUGGACACACACAAGUGCAAUAAUGCUGCUAUAAAGGAACCAUUUAAUAUAUCUAUUAAAGUAAUUUGUUAGUUUUAAAGCAGCUUUAA